GCUGGCCUCAAGUUCGCUUGACUUCCAUCAAAAUGUAAUCAUGUUGUACACAGUACACUGUUCUCCAUCGGCGUCGACUCCCAAGCAGCUGGCAUGACGAGCACUGCACAAGGUCCCUGCUGCCUGCUGACUGUCAAUGGCUCCCUUCCCUGCUGCAGGUCGUAGUUGAAAUAGACCCACAAGACAGAAAUCAGCUCCGGAUUAGUCCUUCCGAAGCUGAGUUAUUUUACAUCAGUUUACCCCCUUUUAGCAGCUGCCAUUUUUUUCGGUACUCCUUUCGAGCAUUGUUCAAAGAAAUCAGCAGCUGCCAUUAUUUUACAUCAAUUUACCCCCUUUUAGCAGCUACCAUUAUUUUCUGGUACUCCUAGCAUUGUUCAAAGAAAUCAGCAGCUGUCAUUAUUUUUACAUCAGUUUACCACCUCUUACUAGCAAGGAACAACUCAUUUCUCUCGCUACUCCUAAUUUUUUCUUGUGCUUUUCUGUAGGAGGAGAAAUUCAUUCUCAGAUCACAAGAACCACAGAACACCAAGGGUGAUAUUCAGGUUGACAUAUUUCCAUAGACAAUCUAACCUGUACAGGGAUGAGUAAGAGAUGAAAAACUUCAAUUGAAAGCACCGCAAAGGUAUCUAAGCAAUGGUA